rnacentral:tRNA from 1 species
GCCUGGCUGGCUCAGUCAGUAGAGCAUGUGAUUCCUGAUCUUGGGGUCAUGAGUUCAAGCCCCACGUUGGGCC